rnacentral:rRNA from 1 species
AUGUCCAUUCCCGCCCUCCGCUCCUUCCCCGCCGUCUACGGCGUGAAGCCGACCACCCGCCUGGUCCGACACCAUUCCCGGCUCGGCGGCGGCCUCAGGACCAGCUCCGUCGCCGUGAACGGGGAGGUGGGGCUGAGAAACAGGAGCGGGAAGAAAGAGGACGCGGUGAAGGAGGAGAAGGACAGAGGACUGGAGCCCCUCUACGACGAUGGGUUCGGGGGUGUGACCGUCAAGGACUACUUCGCUGCCGCCAGGGCCCUGUGCAAGGACGACGGAGGGCCGCCGCGGUGGUUCAGCCCCGUCGAGUCAGGCCAGCCGGCGGUGGAGGACGCGCCUCUGCUGCUCUUCUUGCCAGGAACUGAUGGUGUUGGGAUGGGGCUCAUUUUGCACCACAAGUCUUUGGGCAAGGCCUUUGAAGUUCGUUGUUUGCAUAUACCAGUAAAUGAUCGUACACCAUUUGAAGGGCUAUUACAAAUUGUCGAAAAGUCUAUCCAAUAUGAGCAUGAUUUAUCACCAAAUAGACCGAUAUAUCUUGUUGGAGAUUCCUUUGGUGGAUGCCUGGCGCUUGCAGCGGCAGCUCGUAAUCCACACAUCGAUUUGGUCCUCGUACUGGUAAACCCAGCAACAUCAUUUGCAAAGACUCCACUGCAGCCAAUAUUGCCUCUUUUGGAAGCAAUGCCAAGCGACCUUCAUGUUACAGUUCCAUAUCUUCUUAGUUUUGUUAUGGCUGACCCUCUGAAGAUGGCUAUGGUUAGCAUUGAGAACAACCUUUCUCCUCCAGAAACUCUUCAAAAGCUGUCAGAAAGUCUCACUUCUUUGCUGCCUUUGCUUUCACAAUUGGCAGAUAUCAUACCAAGGGAUGCUCUUUUGUGGAAGCUCAAGCUUCUUAAGUCAGGAGCAGCCUAUGCCAACUCUCGUCUUCAUGCUGUACAAGCUGAAGUUCUGUUUCUUGCCAGUGGCAAAGACAAUCUUCUGCCGAGUGGAGAAGAGGCAGAUCGACUCUUCAAGGCACUGAAAAACUGCAGAGUUCGAUACUUCAAGGAAAAUGGCCAUACACUACUCUUGGAGGAUGGUGUGAAUCUGUUAUCUGUUAUAAAAGGUGCAAACAUGUACCGCCGUGGCAGGCAACGGGACUUUGUGACCGACUACCUUCCCCCUACACUAAGUGAGUUCAAGAAAACAUUUGAUGAAGACCACAAAUUGUUUCACCUUGCACUGAGCCCAGUCAUGAUGUCUACUCUGACAAAUGGAAAAAUUGUCCGUGGCCUUGCUGGUAUUCCUGACCAAGGUCCUGUCUUGUUUGUGGGUUAUCAUGCACUGAUGGGGAUCGAGUUAAGCCCAUUGUAUGAAGAGUUUUUGAGGGAGAAGAACACGAUUGUUCGUGGCAUGGCUCAUCCAAUGUUGUUUGGAUCAAAAUAUGAGACCUCGCGCCAGGAGUCGUCUCGGUUUGAUACAGUCUCUAUGUAUGGCGGAUUACCAGUCACUCCAAUCAAUAUGUACAGGCUGUUUGAGAGAAAUCAAUAUGUUCUCCUCUAUCCUGGUGGUGCUCGGGAAGCUCUACAUAGGAAGGGUGAAGAAUACAAGUUGUUUUGGCCAGAUCAGCCAGAAUUUGUAAGGAUGGCGGCAAGGUUUGGUGUUACAGUCGUUCCAUUUGGGUUUGUCGGAGAAGAUGACAUUUUAGAGUUGGUUCUGGAUUACAAUGAUCAAAAGAACAUUCCGUACCUUCGGGAGUGGAUAGAGUCAAUCAACAAAGACGGCCAGAGAGUGAGAGAUAGCGUCAAAGGAGAGGAAGGGAAUCAGGACAUGCACAUACCUGCUAUUGUUCCCAAAGUACCGGGACGAUUCUACUACCUUUUUGGCAAACCAAUCAAAAUGGAAGGGAUGAACAAUGUUCUGACGGACAGGGAGAGCGCAAAUAAAGUGUAUUUACAUAUCAAAUCAGAAGUCGAGAACGCAAUGGCAUACUUACAGAGGAAGAGGGAGGAAGACCCUUACAGGAGUAUAGCUCAGCGUGCUGUGUACCAGGCAACUCAGGGUGUUUCUGCUCAAGUCCCAACUUUUGAACCAUGA